UCUGGCCAUAGUGGGCCAAGCCCCAGGCUAGGUAUGCUACCAUGUAAUCUUCUACCCUCUCCAGUCUUAAAGCAACCUGAUAUAUUUGACCUCACUGCUUUCUCUUUCCAGCUUAAAUUCCCCACUCGGCCAAAGGUGCGGGUUCCUACCAUCCCCAUUACGAAGCCUCACACUAUGAAACCAGCUCCACGGUUAACACCUGUGAGGCCAGCUGCUGCCUCCCCGAUUGUGUCAGGAGCCAGACGGAGACGAGUGCGAUGUCGAAAAUGCAAAGCCUGUGUGCAAGGAGAGUGUGGUGUUUGCCACUACUGCAGAGACAUGAAGAAGUUUGGGGGGCCUGGACGCAUGAAGCAGUCCUGUGUCCUCCGACAGUGCUUGGCACCCAGACUGCCUCACUCAGUCACAUGUUCCCUCUGUGGAGAGGUGGAUCAGAAUGAAGAGACACAAGACUUUGAGAAGAAACUCAUGGAAUGCUGUAUCUGCAAUGAGAUUGUUCAUCCUGGCUGCCUCCAGAUGGACGGAGAGGGGUUGCUUAAUGAAGAAUUGCCAAAUUGCUGGGAAUGUCCAAAGUGCUACCAGGAGGACAGCUCGGAGAAAGCCCAGAGUUUGUAGCAUUGUGUUUUGUAUUACUAAAUAUUGUUCCACUUGGGAUCUGCAAAUUCCU
rnacentral:sRNA from 1 species